rnacentral:piRNA from 1 species
UGGAAUUAAAGUGUACACCUCCACCCA